GUAAUAGAUGAGCUCUUGGAUGAAUUAUAUGGUGCUCAAUGGUUUACAAAGCUGGAUCUCAGGGCUGGUUAUCAUCAAAUUAGAUUGGCACCUGGAGAGGAAUACAAGACAGCCUUCGAGACACAUCAUGGUCAUUUUGAGUUUCUGGUGGUUGGUUUUGGCUUAACAGGGGCACCUAACACCUUCCAAGGAGCCAUCAAUGUUUCUCUGUCACAAGAACCUGAAAUGCUAAGAACUUUUGUAUUGGCCUUCUUCGAUGAUAUUCUGAUUUUCAGUAAAACACUGAAGCAACACUUGGAACAUGUCAGGAAGGUCUUGGAAGUACUCAGAAAGGACAAGUGGUAUGUCAAAAUUUCCAAAUGUGAGUUUGCCUCU
rnacentral:rRNA from 1 species